rnacentral:rRNA from 1 species
GAUGAACGCUGGCGGCGUGCCUAAUACAUGCAAGUCGAGCGAAUGGAUUAAGAGCUUGCUCUUAUGAAGUUAGCGGCGGACGGGUGAGUAACACGUGGGUAACCUGCCCAUAAGACUGGGAUAACUCCGGGAAACCGGGGCUAAUACCGGAUAACAUUUUGAACCGCAUGGUUCGAAAUUGAAAGGCGGCUUCGGCUGUCACUUAUGGAUGGACCCGCGUCGCAUUAGCUAGUUGGUGAGGUAACGGCUCACCAAGGCAACGAUGCGUAGCCGACCUGAGAGGGUGAUCGGCCACACUGGGACUGAGACACGGCCCAGACUCCUACGGGAGGCAGCAGUAGGGAAUCUCCCGCAAUGGACGAAAGUCUGACGGAGCAACGGCGCGUGAGUGAUGAAGGCUUUCGGGUCGUAAAACUCUGUUGUUAGGGAAGAACAAGUGCUAGUUGAAUAAGCUGGCACCUUGACGGUACCUAACCAGCAAGCCACGGCUAACUACGUGCCAGCAGCCGCGGUAA